ACGGGUAUCCAAACUACAAUAAUCCUAAUAGCUUUACUGAGACUGAAGAAGGGAUGACUUUCGGGUCAGAGAAGUUACGAGGGCCCGGUUGGACUUACAGGCCAUUGUAGGAAACUCUAGUUGAUUCAGUUGAAAGCUACCGCGCGUCUGGCCUACUACUGGAAAUCAAGUAGUUCCGUGUUUUGUUUAGUUUCUGUCCCGGGAUUGAUCAUCGCCUGAUUGACAUUUCAUUCCGGCAAUAACACACAGACAUCGUUUUGUUUUAGCAUAGAGGUUGCCGCUGUCGAUCAGGCUUGUUACAAAGUUGGAGCUAAAAUAAAGAUGGAAUGAUCGGGACCAUUGUGAAAUACACACAGAUUUUUUUUUCUCA